AGUGAACGCUGGCGGCAGGCCUAAUACAUGCAAGUCGAACGGCAGCACAGCAGAGCUUGCUCUGUGGGUGGCGAGUGGCGGACGGGUGAGGAAUACGUGGGAAUCUGCCCAGUCGUGGGGAUAACGUAGGGAAACUUACGCUAAUACCGCAUGCGCCCUUCGGGGAAAGCCGGGGACCUUCGGGCCUGGCGCGAUUGGAUGAGCCCACGUCGGAUUAGCUAGUUGGCGGGGUAAAGGCCCACCAAGGCGACGAUCCGUAGCUGGUCUGAGAGGAUGAUCAGCCACACUGGAACUGAGACACGGUCCAGACUCCUACGGGAGGCAGCAGUAGGGAAUAUUGGACAAUGGGCGCAAGCCUGAUCCAGCCAUGCCGCGUGAGUGAAGAAGGCCCUCGGGUUGUAAAGCUCUUUUGUCCGGAAAGAAAAGACGCCGGGUUAAAUACCCUGGUGUCCUGACGGUACCGGAAGAAUAAGCACCGGCUAACUUCGUGCCAGCAGCCGCGGUAA
rnacentral:rRNA from 1 species